rnacentral:rRNA from 1 species
AUUGAACGCUGGCGGAAUGCUUUACACAUGCAAGUCGAACGGCAGCACGGACUUCGGUCUGGUGGCGAGUGGCGAACGGGUGAGUAAUGUAUCGGAACGUGCCCAGUCAUGGGGGAUAACGUAGUGAAAAUUACGCUAAUACCGCAUACGACCUAUGGAUGAAAGCGGGGGAUCGCAAGACCUCGCGCGAUUGGAGCGGCCGAUAGCAGAUUAGGUAGUUGGUGGGGUAAAGGCCCACCAAGCCAACGAUCUGUAGCUGGUCUGAGAGGACGACCAGCCACACUGGAACUGAGACACGGUCCAGACUCCUACGGGAGGCAGCAGUGGGGAAUUUUGGACAAUGGGCGAAAGCCUGAUUCAGCCAUUCCGCGUGCAGGAUGAAGGCCCUCGGGUUGUAAACUGCUUUUGUACAGAACGAAAAGGUUUCUACUAAUACUAGGAGCUCAUGACGGUACUGUAAGAAUAAGCACCGGCUAACUACGUGCCAGCAGCCGCAGUAA